AUUGAACGCUGGCGGCAUGCCUUACACAUGCAAGUCGAACGGCAGCACGGGUGCUUGCACCUGGUGGCGAGUGGCGAACGGGUGAGUAAUAUAUCGGAACAUACCCUAGAGUGGGGGAUAACGUAGCGAAAGAUACGCUAAUACCGCAUAGGAACUAGGGUUGAAAGCGGGGGAUCGCAAGACCUCAUGCCAAUGGAGUAGCCGAUAUCGGAUUAGCUAGUUGGUGAGGUAAAGGCUCACCAAGGCGACGAUCAGUAGCUGGUUUGAGAGAACGACCAGCCACACUAGAACUGAGACACGGUCCAGACUCCUACGGGAGACAGAAGUGGGGAAUUUUGGACAAUGGGGGCAACCCUGAUCCAGCAAUGCCGCGUGAGUGAAGAAGGCCCUCGGGUUGUAAAGCUCUUUUGUCAGGGAAGAAACGGUCUACUCUAAUACAGUGGGCUAAUGACGGUACCUGAAGAAUAAGCACCGGCUAACUACGUGCCAGCCGCCGCAGUAAUAC
rnacentral:rRNA from 1 species